UAUGUAGCCCCGAAUCGAAAGUGGGUUUCCUGACACAAAUGACGCACUUUGGAGGCAAGCUUUGAGGACUAAACAGAGAAGUUACUGAAUUACUUUGGGGCCGAGUGAAGCACAGGUUUGGUGAGAAUGUCCUGCCUUCUGGAAGGUGACCCUUUAUCCUCUCUCCAUUUGCAACCAGAUUCCAAGAACCAGGUCUAAAAGGAGAAUGUGGCUUCUGCCUUCCACGUUUCAGGCGACCCUGGGCUUGGGAGAAGACCCAGAAAGAGCAGGGAGGCACAGGAAGCGGGACUCCCCUCUGCUUCUCUGCCCGGCUGUUCUGUCCUGUUCCAGCUGAGACUGAAGUCCGUCGGCAGCCACAUGUUUCAGAUUGAGCUAACUCCUCGCUGCCCUUAGAGGUCAGGAGAGCCACCGUGCUGACACAGGCCUUUCUCCCCCUGGCAGUCUGCCCCACGGCGACUCUUGAGUCAUCGAAAUCUGGAUGACUAGGCUGACAAAAACGAGGUUUCGUGGGGUGGCAGCACCAACUCAAGACUGCUGCCCCGCCGUCCUGGCUGUUGGCUGGGACUCAGAUUCCCCCAGGGCGCUCAACCGUCAGCUAUAGCUCCAGCUUUGGAGGCAACAAAGAAUUAGGGAGAACCUGAGCCAGCGUCCUGCUUGCAGCCUGGAGGGCACGUGAUGGCCAAGAGGGAAAGAGGAGAGCAGGAAUUCAGGACUGGGUAGUUUCCAUGAAAUUCGAUGAUUGGACUUUUGUGGAAUUUACACUCUGAAGUGACAGCAGCUUCUCUGGCCUCUUGACCUCGCCGUGCCUGAGGCAGCUGUAGGAAGGGGUGGAGGGCGAGUAAAGGAAGAGCAGAGAGGAACCAGAGGCAGGAGUGAUAAUAACACUGGGCACUUUUCCUUCAGAACUUGGCUUCUCCUCUGCAAGAUUCACAGGCUGAAGGUGUUUCUCUCCCUCUGGAGGGCACCAUGCUGACUCCUCCCUCUGUCCCUCCUGGUCCCCCAUCCCAUGCAGUCCACCCUGCUCCCCUGCCCUCCCCCACCCCCAUCUUCCUGCAUUUCCGGAGUGCAUUUGUAAAACUCCAUUCUGCCCUGGGUGUUCCCAUGCUCACCCCUGACCUCGUGAGUUCUCCACAGAGCAGCCAGAGUAUCCUGUCCAGGUGACAAAUCUGACAGUGUCCCUCAGCUGCUUAAAACCCUCAGUGGCUCCCUUUUGCUCUUAGGAUAAAGUACAAAACCUCUACACCAUCCAGCAGCUGCCUCUCUCUCUUGCCUUGCCCUCCCCUCACUCUGCUCCAGCCACGAUGACUUGGUUCAACUCCUGGUAGGGCCCUGCUCCCUCCUGGCUCAGGGCCUUUGCACCAACUGUUCUCUCUGCCUGGAUGCCCUUCCCCUCUCUUUCACCCAGUUAGUUCCCACUCUUUCUUAGGAUCUAGCUCAUCUGUCCUUCUUUACAAAUUCUUACAAAUAACCCUCAUAGCCCUUAUCACAAUUUAACUUACCCCAGUGGGAGUGUUUGAUUGACAGUUGUCCUCCCAACUGGACUGCAAGCUCCGUGAGGACAGGGAGAGACCACGUCUGUUUCCCUCACUGCUGAAACCACAACACCGCUCACAGGGCCUGGCUGAGUCUUACCUCCUCCUCCAGACCCCGUUCAAACAUGUCUGAGAGGCCCUCUCGGGCUCCCCACUCUGUCAGUCCAUGAAGCAGAGUGGACCUCUACCAUGCAUUUAUGGUGCUGUGCUGCAACAAUUUGCUCACGUGUCUGUCUCAGCCGCAGUGUGUGGACUCCGGGAGGGCUAGGACCACUGCCUUUGCUGUGUUUGUUUCCCCGACACCCAGCACAGUGCUUGGCCUGCAGGGGCCAGCUGUGUGAAUAAAUGCAUCACGGUAAAGACAGGUCCCUGGGCCGGGGUGUCAUCCUCCGUAAACCAAGCGGCUGGACCACAGGAUUCUGUGUGUCCUUUCUCUCACACUCUGGCUCAACAUCACAUAACCCUGCCUGUCAGCGCCUCUCUGCUUUGUCACCCAUGUGCUUUAAUUGUUGCCCUGGCAAUCAGCAAACCUCCUGCCACCACAGGUCCUGCGUUUCGCUCUGCAAAGAAAGCCUCACACCUCGGGCUUUCUAUAGAUUAUGCAAAAAUAAGCUGUUUAAUAGCUCCUUCCUCUGACUCAUAUUUUUUCCUUAGGUCUUUCUCAUGUUUAUGCAGCAUCUUUCUUUGUUUUCUACUUAUUAAGAAGCAUUUAAAAUACAUAAAAAGGUAUGAAGAAUAACGUAACGGACACCCAUGAACACACCCAAGUGCGGAGAGCUGAGGACGUGGACCCGUGGACGUGGGCCUUUUCUUUAGAGAAGAACGAAUGCCGUCCGAGGCCUCUCUGGAUACAGCCGUGUAUUUCCAGGGAACUGAGACAGCGAUUUCCAGCACUGCCUCUGGGACAGAGCCAGCGUCUCCGUGUCCAGGCGGGGGCUCUCCUCCUGUGCUCCCUUCUAAGGAGAGCGAGGCUCCUUCUCCCCAAGGCCUCGGCACAGCCUGACCACAGUCCCUUCCAGGACAGACCCCGAGACCCUCUGAACUGAGGGGACCCCAGAGGGGAAGGCAUCCAGAAUCCCGCUCAGCACAGGAAUGCCCUCCCUGCCGUCCUGUCCUGUGGGCUCCGGGAGACAUGGCCCUGGGCUCCAAACCCAUGGGGGAGGCACCUCAGAAAAGAACAAGGCAAACCUAAGAAACAAGGAGACACGAGCAUUCAGGACAAGCUGCAAGUUUUUUCCCUCAGGUUGAGGACUUCUGGAGGUGGACUCAUCCAGGAGUUGCAUCCCAGAGCUCAGGGCAAUCAUGCCUUCGUGUCCCUUCAGUGGGCCACAUGUCGAGCCAGAGGCUGGGCUUUGAAUGUGAAUAGGACACGGUCCACAGGCUGGAGGAACUCACGGUAAGUGGAUGACUUGAAAGGUUAAGAAACACUCAUGAUGCAGUGUGCCAGGAGCCACUGUGAAGGGGUACGGGCAAGGUGUGAAUGAAGCCUCUGAAUCACACUCAGGGCUUCGGGGAAGGCUUCCUGGAGGAGGGGAUGCUUGUCCCGCAUUGUGAAGGAUGACAAGCGCAGGGCAUGAUGUGUUCACAAUGCUUGUGGGGAGCUGCAGGUGGUUCCAGCUGCCUGGCGUGAAGGUGGGAGUGGGCAGUGGUGGGAGAGGUGGCCAGAGAGACAUCACAAAGGCCUUGUGUGCUCCUCUGAGGAGUGUGAACUUCUGCAAGCUAGGGGCGGCCACUGGAGGAGUGGAGGCAGGGCAGAGGCCUGAAGGGAAUUGGGAAGCCCUGGAAAGUGGUGUGGUCGUGAACUGGAGGAGGAAGAACAAGGAGGAGGGGGUCGCAGGACCAAGGGGAGAUGCCACGAGAGUCUGCACAAGGUGAUGUCGAAGGAAAAGGAGAGGAGGGAAGAUGGUGAGGAGAUCAACGCCCAGGGGACACUGAGAAGGAGGGAAGGGAGGUUCUGGGGAUUCUCGGCGUUUGGGUUUGGCUGACCGGGAGCUGGCAGUGCCAUUCACUGACAGAGAGGAUCCCAGAGGAGAAGACCUUGUUGUGGUCUUUGGAUGAUGGCACAGAGGUGAGGCCUCAAUAGAGGGGAUAAGACCUCCACAGAAUCUCCAAGAGAGAAAGUCACUAGAAGCAGAAAGAAGGUCAGAGAAGGACAAGCAAGACCAGCAUGUGGGUAAUAGGGCCUCUGACCACACACCCGGUUCCCCGAGGCGACACCCUGGCACAGCUUUGGAGGACACAGCAUCCCUGAGGUCCCAGGGCUAGAGACUUGGGUGCCCGUUUUAGCACCAACAUCAUAAACUCCAUGAUGGAACUGAACACACCCCUAGGUGUCACCUGUGGGCCUCGGUGACGCAAGUCCGCUUCCAUUCCAUAUGUUCCUAUUUUUAGAUUUUAGAGGGUUUUGUUGGAAACCAAAGUUAUACAUAAUUUAAGGAAGCAAAUAGUCAUAUGUCAACAACAUCAGUUUCUUUCCUCUUUCCCACUCCCUUGAGGUAAUUGCUUUCAGUUCUUAUUAGAUGAUUCUCUUGGUAUUUACCUCCAUAGCUCUACACAAGAUGGAUAUAUGGAACCUUCCUGAUUUUGUCCCUGUCAGGAAUCAGCUCCUGACUUUCCAAUGUGGCAGACAAAGAUUCAGCUCUGUUAACCCCACCCUCAUCUCCACGACACACAUGUGCCCACUUCCCACUCCCCCAUCCUCCCGAAAUGCUUCUAUCAUAUUUGGUUAUAUCAACUUUCAGCGUUCACAUUAUUAUGACUGGGUUUAUGCUACUCACAACUGAGUCACUUGAGGUCACCAUGAUUUUUCCCCUCUCCUUCAUGCCUUUUACAUUCCACAGGAGCUGGUAAUCAUGUCCCCCGACCCGCAUUUAUUUAGUUCUACUUCGUGUUACUUAUCACUGGUCCAACCCCUAAUUCUCCCCCAAUUAUGUAGACCCCCUUGCGAAACUUUCAAACAUAAUUUCUUCAGUGUCAUCUUCUUGAUCACAUCUUUCCUGGAGCCCUUUGAGCAGCUUUAAUCUGAACGGACUGCUUUCUAUGCCCAGCCCAUGGCUGUCCUCCUGGGAUCUUCCUUCCCAGGAUCUUGGUGAUUCUCAUCGCCUGCCUCUCGUUUCCUCCCUUGUUUUGAUGGAGCCCAUCCUUUAGCAGCUUUCUGGAAUAGAGGCUAAGGCAGUACCUUUUUUGAAACUUUGCAUGUCAUGUGUGAAAAUAUUUGAUAGUCUUCUCAUCCUUUUUUCUUUAGUAGUUUGGAUAUAGAAUUCUAGGCAGAAAAUGGUUUUCCUUCAGAAAACAUUUUCCACAGACUUCAUUUCCAGGUUUGAUGAUAACUCUGGUGACAUUCUGUUUCUGGUUUUUGGAAAAUAUUUUAUGAAACCAGUUUUUAUCUUUGAAGAUCUGUUGGAUCUCCUCUUUGUCUCAGUUUUCUGAAAUUUCAUGGUGAUGUCUAAUUCAACUCAAUUCUCCCAAAAGGUGUUGCGAGCAUGCACUGUAUAGCUUCUCUCUCUAAAUGCUCCGCUGAAUACAGAGAUACACACAAGUCCUCAGGAGAUGGAAAUACAUGGGGAGUGUGGGGGAUAAGGCAAACAGGAUAUUGGUGAGUAUGCAGCAUUACACAUAUAAAUACACAUAUAAGAUUUGUAAGGGCAACAUUUUUACAAAUUGCAAGUUUUGGUAUUUCUUAAGAGGGACAAAUCCAGGGUCUCAACCUGAUGCAUUGUGUUAGCAAUUUGGCCUUCCCAGCACUCAGCGAACUUCCAGGCUCCCACACCUCCAGCCUCUGUCGACUGGGUGGAAAGCUGUCAAUACUCCUGUGAUGUGUUGCCUUCCAAGUUGUGCUCUCCCUGCUGGAGCUGUUGUUGGCCUCUAGGGGGCGAACACUGCCACCAUUCUGCAGAGCCCCAGGACAGGCUGAAUUCAAUGCCAGAGGCUCCCUCAAGCUCCUUAUACAGGCAGUUGCCACAGAACCAAGAACCAGGGCCCUUUUUCCAGAAGCAAUCCCUAAAAUGUAUUUCUCCUUCCCCUUCAAGGUGCAUCUCUAGAUACCUAUAGAUAGAACAUACAGCUAAAUAGAUAUAAUACAUAAUAAGCUGCUCAAUAAAUGGUUUUCUUUGUUUUUUCUUUUUUUUAAGAUUUUAUUUUUUCC